rnacentral:rRNA from 1 species
CAGGCUUAACACAUGCAAGUCGAGGGGCAGCAUGGUCUUAGCUUGCUAAGGCCGAUGGCGACCGGCGCACGGGUGAGUAACACGUAUCCAACCUGCCGUCUACUCUUGGACAGCCUUCUGAAAGGAAGAUUAAUACAAGAUGGCAUCAUGAGUCCGCAUGUUCACAUGAUUAAAGGUAUUCCGGUAGACGAUGGGGAUGCGUUCCAUUAGAUAGUAGGCGGGGUAACGGCCCACCUAGUCUUCGAUGGAUAGGGGUUCUGAGAGGAAGGUCCCCCACAUUGGAACUGAGACAUGGUCCAAACUCCUACGGGAGGCAGCAGUGAGGAAUAUUGGUCAAUGGGCGAGAGCCUGAACCAGCCAAGUAGCGUGAAGGAUGACUGCCCUAUGGGUUGUAAACUUCUUUUAUAAAGGAAUAAAGUCGGGUAUGGAUACCCGUUUGCAUGUACUUUAUGAAUAAGGAUCGGCUAACUCCGUGCCAGCAGCCGCGGUAAUACGGAGGAUCCGAGCGUUAUCCGGAUUUAUUGGGUUUAAAGGGAGCGUAGAUGGAUGUUUAAGUCAGUUGUGAAAGUUUGCGGCUCAACCGUAAAAUUGCAGUUGAUACUGGAUAUCUUGAGUGCAGUUGAGGCAGGCGGAAUUCGUGGUGUAGCGGUGAAAUGCUUAGAUAUCACGAAGAACUCCGAUUGCGAAGGCAGCCUGCUAAGCUGCAACUGACAUUGAGGCUCGAAAGUGUGGGUAUCAAACAGGAUUAGAUACCCUGGUAGUCCACACGGUAAACGAUGAAUACUCGCUGUUUGCGAUAUACUGCAAGCGGCCAAGCGAAAGCGUUAAGUAUUCCACCUGGGGAGUACGCCGGCAACGGUGAAACUCAAAGGAAUUGACGGGGGCCCGCACAAGCGGAGGAACAUGUGGUUUAAUUCGAUGAUACGCGAGGAACCUUACCCGGGCUUAAAUUGCAGAUGAAUUACGGUGAAAGCCGUAAGCCGCAAGGCAUCUGUGAAGGUGCUGCAUGGUUGUCGUCAGCUCGUGCCGUGAGGUGUCGGCUUAAGUGCCAUAACGAGCGCAACCCUUGUUGUCAGUUACUAACAGGUUCCGCUGAGGACUCUGACAAGACUGCCAUCGUAAGAUGUGAGGAAGGUGGGGAUGACGUCAAAUCAGCACGGCCCUUACGUCCGGGGCUACACACGUGUUACAAUGGGGGGUACAGAGGGCCGCUACCACGCGAGUGGAUGCCAAUCCCCAAAACCUCUCUCAGUUCGGACUGGAGUCUGCAACCCGACUCCACGAAGCUGGAUUCGCUAGUAAUCGCGCAUCAGCCACGGCGCGGUGAAUACGUUCCCGGGCCUUGUACACACCGCCCGUCAAGCCAUGGGAGCCGGGGGUACCUGAAGUGCGUAACCGCGAGGAGCGCCCUAGGGUAAAACUGGUGACUGGGGCUAAG